rnacentral:rRNA from 1 species
GACGUAGGGGGCGAGCGUUGUCCGGAUUUAUUGGGCGUAAAGCGUGCGUAGGCGGCUGCGCAAGUCGGGUGUGAAACCCCGGGGCUCAACCCCGGAACUGCAUCCGAUACUGCGUGGCUAGAGGUAGGUAGGGGAGAUCGGAAUUCCUGGUGUAGCGGUGAAAUGCGCAGAUAUCUGGAGGAACACCGGUGGCGAAGGCGACAUCCUGGACCGGUAUUGACGCUGAGGCGCGAAAGCCAGGGGAGCAAACGGG